CCAAAAAAUGCCUCUGACACACAGUGGGAGCAAUUUGUCUAUUGAGGAAAGGAACGGGUUAAUUUGAAAUUCAGCUUGGCCCAGAGAUAAAGAGAGAGUUGCUCUGCGUUCAAGGUCAAAAAUCAACGCAGACCAGGCUAAGUACAAAGAAAAACUGCUUUCGGCCCCAGCUGGCUGUGAAAAAAUAUAGACAGAGGCAAACCAAAGGCAAUACAAGUUACAGGACUGAGAUUAUAUUUUCAAACCUUAACUGUCCAGUGAGAUCCAACAGUCUGGCUUUGCGACCCUGGAGCCGGCGUGGUUUGGGGAUGCUGAAGAAGCCACAGGCAGCCGGCCUGGACUGGAAUCUCUGAGAGAUGCCGCAGGAGACCCCAGGGCGUAAAAGAACUGCCCUCCCAAGAGAGGAAGCAAGUUGGAGAUUCUGGACAAGCUGUAUACAGGAUAAUCUCCCGUCCACCUCUCCCCCUUCUCUGGACGUUCUACACAGACGUGGCCAGUCUGGACAUACAUGUAGUUACUGACAGCAGAUAUUACAGCGAGUGUAAAUUGUGCAAAGAGAGUUGUUCGCGAUCCUAAUGGCAUGGGUGCAUGGGUGGCAUGGACAAAGAACUGCAAAGGGCGAGAUGUCUCCCCGUGGAUCCGUGGCUGCGGGCUAUAUGGUUAUGGGGUUUACUGCAUCUUGGUUCCCUUAUAAUUAAGGAGCUUUUCACAUGCAGCAAAAUAUUCCCUCUUCUUGCUUCCCUUUUACAAUUAAUCAUGUUCAAAAUAAAACAAAUUCAGGAGAAAGGUUUGCAGGGCAACUGACUGGUAAAAUGCAAAUAUUUUACUCCUUGCCGUGGAUGGUUCCAUGUGACCAGCUGCAGUAACUUAUUUUGUGUUCUACACAGUUUUAAAGAUCUUGUAUUACCUCUUUAUUAUAUAUACAUGUCAGAAUAAGCCAGAUCUGUUUUUCCUGUGAGAUCCUGCAACUAGUUUGUUCUGCUAAUUAGUAGCAGUGUGUAAUCCUGCCUGUGAGCUCACAUUCAUUAUGCUCAAUAAAAUGACGUACUUUGCACAUA